UACGAAGGGUGCGAGCGUUAAUCGGAAUUACUGGGCGUAAAGGGUGCGUAGGCGGUUCGUUAAGUCUGUUGUGAAAUCCCCGGGCUCAACCUGGGAAUGGCAAUGGAUACUGGCUAGCUAGAGUGUGUCAGAGGAUGGUGGAAUUCCCGGUGUAGCGGUGAAAUGCGUAGAGAUCGGGAGGAACAUCAGUGGCGAAGGCGGCCAUCUGGGACAACACUGACGCUGAAGCACGAAAGCGUGGGGAGCAAACAGG
rnacentral:rRNA from 1 species